UACGGGGGGGGCAAGCGUUGUUCGGAAUUACUGGGCGUAAAGGGCUCGUAGGCGGCCAACUAAGUCGGAUGUGAAAUCCCCAGGCUUAACCUGGGAACUGCAUCCGAUACUGGAUGGCUUGAAUCCGGGAGAGGGAUGCAGAAUUCCAGGUGUAGCGGUGAAAUGCGUAGAUAUCUGGAGGAAUACCGGUGGCGAAGGCAGCUCUCUGGGACGGUACGUGACGCUGAGACGCGAAAGCGUGGGGAGCGAACGAGG
rnacentral:rRNA from 1 species